GCAAGUGCGAUAAGGGGACCCCAAGUGCGAGGGCAUAUAGUCCUCGCUUUUUCCGACCGUAAGGUGGUCGGCGAAUAAGGGCUGGGCAAGACCGGUGCCAGCCGCCGCGGUAAUACCGGCAGCCCAAGUGAUGACCGAUAUUAUUGGGCCUAAAGCGUCCGUAGCCGGCCACGAAGGUUCAUCGGGAAAUCCGCCAGCUCAACUGGCGGGCGUCCGGUGAAAACCACGUGGCUUGGGACCGGAAGGCUCGAGGGGUACGUCCGGGGUAGGAGUGAAAUCCCGUAAUCCUGGACGGACCACCGAUGGCGAAAGCACCUCGAGAAGACGGAUCCGACGGUGAGGGACGAAAGCUAGGGUCUCGAACCGGAUUAGAUACCCGGGUAGUCCUAGCUGUAAACGAUGCUCGCUAGGUGUGGCACAGGCUACGAGCCUGUGCUGUGCCGUAGGGAAGCCGAGAAGCGAGCCGCCUGGGAAGUACGUCCGCA
rnacentral:rRNA from 1 species